rnacentral:rRNA from 1 species
ACAGAGGGUGCAAACGUUGUUCGGAAUGACUGGGCGUAAAGCGCGUGUAGGCGGUUCUGCAAGUCGGGUGUGAAAGCCCUGGGCUCAACCCAGGAAGUGCACUCGAAACUGCAGGACUGGAGUCCCGGAGAGGAAGGCGGAAUUCUCGGUGUAGAGGUGAAAUUCGUAGAUAUCGAGAGGAACACCGGUGGCGAAGGCGGCCUUCUGGACGGCGACUGACGCUGAGACGCGAAAGCGUGGGGAGCAAACAGGA